rnacentral:rRNA from 1 species
GACGAACGCUGGCGGCGUGCUUAACACAUGCAAGUCGAACGGAAAGGCCCUGCUUUUGUGGGGUGCUCGAGUGGCGAACGGGUGAGUAACACGUGAGUAACCUGCCCUUGACUUUGGGAUAACUUCAGGAAACUGGGGCUAAUACCGGAUAGGAGCUCCUGCUGCAUGGUGGGGGUUGGAAAGUUUCGGCGGUUGGGGAUGGACUCGCGGCUUAUCAGCUUGUUGGUGGGGUAGUGGCUUACCAAGCCUUUGACGGGUAGCCGGCCUGAGAGGGUGACCGGCCACAUUGGGACUGAGAUACGGCCCAGACUCCUACGGGAGGCAGCGGUGGGGAAUAUUGCACAAUGGGCGGAAGCCUGAUGCAGCAACGCCGCGUGCGGGAUGACGGCCUUCGGGUUGUAAACCGCUUUCGCCUGUGACGAAGCGUGAGUGACGGUAAUGGGUAAAGAAGCACCGGCUAACUACGUG